rnacentral:snRNA from 1 species
CAAGGGGAAUCCGACUGU